CCUACGGGGGGCAGCAGUGGGGAAUAUUGGGCAAUGGGCGCAAGCCUGACCCAGCAACGCCGCGUGAAGGAAGAAGGCUUUCGGGUUGUAAACUUCUUUUCUCAGGGACGAAGCAAGUGACGGUACCUGAGGAAUAAGCCACGGCUAACUACGUGCCAGCAGCGGCGGUAAUACGUAGGUGGCAAGCGUGAUCCGGAUUUACUGAGUGAAAAGGGCGUGUAGGCGGGACUGCAAGUCAGAUGUGAAAACCACGGGCUCAACCUGUGGCCUGCAUUGGAAACUGUAGUUAUUGAGUACUGGAGAGGCAGACGGAAUUCCUAGAGUAGCGGUGAAAUGCGUAGAUAUUAGGAGGAACACCAGUGGCGAAGGCGGUCUGCUGGACAGCAACUGACGCUGAGGCGCGAAAGCAUGGGGAGCAAACAGGAUUAGAUACCCCUGUAGUC
rnacentral:rRNA from 1 species